rnacentral:rRNA from 1 species
ACAUGCAAGUCGAACGAGAGCGACCGGUGCUUGCACUGGUCAAUCUAGUGGCGAACGGGUGAGUAACACGUGGGUAACCUGCCCAUCAGAGGGGGAUAACAUCCGGAAACGGAUGCUAAAACCGCAUAGGUCUUCGAGCCGCAUGGCUUGAAGAGGAAAAGAGGCGCAAGCUUCUGCUGAUGGAUGGACCCGCGGUGCAUUAGCUAGUUGGUGAGGUAACGGCUCACCAAGGCCGUGAUGCAUAGCCGACCGGAGAGGGUGAUCGGCCACAUUGGGACUGAGACACGGCCCAAACUCCUACGGGAGGCAGCAGUAGGGAAUCUUCCGCAAUGGACGCAAGUCUGACGGAGCAACGCCGCGUGAGUGAAGAAGGUUUUCGGAUCGUAAAACUCUGUUGUUAGAGAAGAACAAGUGCUAGAGCAACUGUUAGCGCCUUGACGGUAUCUAACCAGAAAGCCACGGCUAACUACGUGCCAGCAGCCGCGGUAAUACGUAGGUGGCAAGCGUUGUCCGGAUUUAUUGGGCGUAAAGCGAGCGCAGGCGGUUCCUUAAGUCUGAUGUGAAAGCCUCCGGCUCAACCGGGGAGGGUCAUUGGAAACUGGGGAACUUGAGUGCAGAAGAGGAGAGUGGAAUUCCAUGUGUAGCGGUGAAAUGCGUAGAUAUAUGGAGGAACACCAGUGGCGAAGGCGACUCUCUGGUCUGUAACUGACGCUGAGGCUCGAA